rnacentral:misc_RNA from 1 species
UGACAUUAUUCAGCAUUGUCGGGCAUUCACGUACGCACACACUGGUGGCUGUGGGGUGUCGAAUCCUCUCCACGGCCUCGCCUUCAUGUAUAGGUAGCGCGGUCUCUUGGUCGUUCUAUGCGCGUCUCUUGAUAGCCAUCUGUUCAGAUCCGGCGAGCGAGAGCAGCGAUUUUUUUUUCGUUGCCUUUAAGCCCAUUGCUCAUUGUCAGCGGUUCAGACGAAACACCGCGUGCAAAGGAGCAGGAGAAAACGAGCUGUGGCAUGGCAGAAUUCCGUCGGCAUCGCGCUGCACACUCUGACCUCUUCCAGUUUCUCAUGUAGAUCUCCUUCGAAGCCGCGAAACACGCAUACACGGGUCUCAUCGCGUCGGGUACGUCAGCCAUCGUCGCGUGCCACUUGCGAAGGUUGAGGGACAAAAAAAAACAAAUAGCAAUAACGCAAAAAGGCAAAACGAAGAAAAGGCAUCUUAGCGUAACAUACGGGCUCCCGUGCAUUUUUAGUUUUGUUUGCGGUGAUAAGCGGAGAAACUGACUAGCGUCAUGACUGUCAAUGUCGCGUCAGAGGUCUCGCCGCUACCAUAUGGUGAGCAUCAAGGCAGCUUUCGGGGUGUUGUGGCGUGCUCUAACCGCGAUGACGGCUACUUCAGCGGCGAGAACAACUACGUAGACACGUCAAUCUACACCGGGUUUCGCUACCAAUGCGUUGAGUACGCGCGCCGCUUUCUGCUGCUGACGACCGGCUGCGUCUUUGCGAACUGUGGCAGAGCCAGCGAGAUCUACGCGAUGGAUCACAUCACACACGUGGAGACGGGGGCGCAGUACACUCUCCAUCGCCACCACAACGACGGCACAGCAACGCAGAAGCCGGCGCCGGGUGACAUCAUCGUCUACCCUUACCACCCAGAACUAACUCCAUGGGGUCACGUUGGUGUCAUAUCCUUCGUUGACGAUAACCGCGUCGGCAUCGCAGAGCAGAACCACUACUUCGGCCCUUUCACCUCGCCGAAUGAGUCGUACCUCGACGGUGAGCGGUGCGUCGCACGGUACGCCAUGCUCACGUUCGACGAGGCGACCAAGACAUGGCACAUCAGGGAACCGGGCUCGAUGCCGAGUGCCGCGGGUUGGCUGUCGUACCCUGAUGCGCCGACCCGCGAGCAGAUUCACGCGCCGUUCACGCCGCUUCCCUGCGCGAUCAAGGUGCGCUCGACCCCAUUCGACCAAGACGACCAUCCUUUCCUCACACACUACCACCUGCACAACGGCUUCGACAUCCCCAGCGGGUGUGUGAGGCAUGCGUACGGCAUGCGAAACGGCACCGCCGAAACGUUGGUAGGCGCGACAAGCGCCGCCGCACGCGUGCUGCGGUUCACACUUCAUCUUCUUUUCCGUCGCGGCCGCCUCGGCCCUGCCUUUCGCGCGUUACCCACGAAUCCGCUGAACGCCACACUGCCGGAGGGUGCGGGUGCAAGCGCGGAGGCAUGUCGCGAGGUGGACGCACUCUUCAAGGUGCUCGCCGAGAAAGAUGUCGUCAAUGCCACCGAGACGACCCCCGAUAGGCUGCGCCAGGCUGUGGCAACUUACUUUGACAUCCCAAUCGAGUGGGUGAUGGCCAUGGAGCGGGACUUCGCGAAAGGGGAGACACACAUGGCAGCGGUCGUCAGCUUCUACCCGAACAUCGAGACAGACUCGGCCGCCCUGGAGGCGUUUCGCGCAGCACGCAAGCGUUCAGGGACAUGGGCAGCGCCGGCCGUUGGGACGGUGCCGCGGACAACAGCCAACGCCAGUACCCCCGUCGCCGAAGAGCCCCUCGCCGUGAGCUACCCAGCUACUGCCGAGGAGUUCCCAGUCAAGAACCCUCAUGAUGAGGCGUGGCACGUGGCAAAAGUGAACUUCGGCAACGCGCGCGUCAUGACAGAGCUGUCGCAGCUCAAUAAGGUGCAGCAGGAGCUGACGGGGACGAUCGCGCUCAUGACACCAUCCAUGCGCCCCUUCAUCUCCACGCAGUACCGCAUGGACUUUGCGGGCUACCUCAAGGUCGUUGAGGCCGUCUACGGCCCUCGCACUAGCUUCACGAUUGUCAUGAGCGAUGACCAACCGAUGGACGGCUUGCUGCGGGAGCUUGUCUGGACCCUGCAGAAUUUGUGCGAGCUCGUCGAGUACCCGGUCCGCGUUGUGAAUGAGAAGGACCUGACGUUUGUGAAUGGCAAGCUGCACGCCACGCCGUCAGCGGUCUCUCCAGAGGCGGGCAGCCGAACGACCAACAUCGCGCCUAGUGGGGCGUACGAUGUGAACUUUGUGUACGCGCUGUGCGAAUGGCCGCGCAUUUUGGCCGACAGAGAGGCCACCCACGCUGCCCUGUACCUCGCCGCUGUGGACCCAGCGUCGGAUGUUGUGUUUGCGAAGCCGCUGUGGUCGUGCCUCUGCUCUGGUGCGGUGAACGUCAGCGACGACGCAGAGAGGGCGCACGACAGUCAUUCGCCGCGCUCCACGUCGGUGCGCUUCUUCGAUGUGUGCCGCCGCCUGUAUCUGCUGGCAUCGCCGAAGCAGCAGCCGAAAACAUGGGAUUUAGAAGUAUCCGAGUACAAGGAUAGCUGCCGCCGCAUUCACGUCGACGCCGAGACUGUGCCGAUGCACUCUCCAGCCCACCUCAACGCCGACUCCCUCAUGAUCAAUCUAGCGGGGAGCUGCUACAUGGGACACGUCGGCGGCACACUGAGUGUUGAAUCGGAGAACACCGGCGUCCACGCCGGCCACCCGGCUUCCCUCAUGUUCAUGUUUCCCGCCGACUAGCGACGCCAGGCGAGGGAUCCCCAGACGAUGAGGGCAGAGGUGGCCGCGAUAUGGGGGUGAGGGACGCGGCCGCAGCGCGGCUCUGUCGCUGCUGACACGGUUUGUCGAGUGGCCUAGGCCUGUAAGCCUGCGUUUGCGUUUGGUGUGUUUCUAUAUGUGCAGGUGCGGAGGGAGGAGGAGGAGGAGACAAGUGCGCGGGCAGAAGGCCGCGCGCGCGCAGACAUGGACGGCGACAGAUAGCGAGACCAGAUCUCCGCCCUUUACCCACCCUCUUACCCUCAGCCUCCCUAUUAAUCUUGGUGUGCCAUGGACGACCGAUGUCUGCCUUUCUCCACGCGAGACCGCGACCCUUCCCCCUGGUGCCCCCGACGCCUUGUCUUGUCCACGCGGUAGAGCGCCCCCGCCGUCGGGCGUGUGCCAUGUAGCUGGCGCGUGUGGCUCUGUUGGCGUUCGAUGAUGUCGAAGAGCCCCGUCGGCGGUUCUCACUCCUGGGCUCGGAAAACGGCUCUGGCGCAAGACCAAGGAGAUGCAUGCAGCCUAUCCUACCGCGGGUGCUACGCGUUCACGUGCAGCACCACCGUGAGCCACCGCCCAUCCUCUCUCCAUAGGAGGGUGGGGGUGGGGGCGUACACCAGUGCUUUUCCGAGCGAAGGGGUGCGCUUAUCCACAUCAUUCAUCAAUCUAAUCUUCCUCUCUCGCCUCGUUUUCAG